UCGAGAAUUUUUCACAAUGGGCGAAAGCCUGAUGGAGCGACGCCGCGUGGGGGAUGAAUGGCUUCGGCCCGUAAACCCCUGUCAUUCGCGAGCAAUGCCUUCCCGAUAAUACCGGGACGGUUGAUCGUAGCGAAAGAGGAAGGGACGGCUAACUCUGUGCCAGCAGCCGCGGUAAUACAGAGGUCCCAAGCGUUGUUCGGAUUCACUGGGCGUAAAGGGUGCGUAGGUGGUGAGGUAAGUUCGAUGUGAAAUCUCCGGGCUCAACCCGGAAAAGGCGUUGAAUACUAUCUUGCUCGAGGUGUGGAGGGGGGACUGGAAUUCUCGGUGUAGCAGUGAAAUGCGUAGAUAUCGAGAGGAACACCGGUGGCGAAGGCGAGUCCCUGGACAACACCUGACACUGAGGCACGAAAGCUAGGGGAGCAAACAG
rnacentral:rRNA from 1 species